rnacentral:rRNA from 1 species
AUGAGCGUAAUCGUAACCAAGUCUAGGCCGUUGCUGGUCCGCCCGUCGACGGAGCAGUCGACGCCGACGACGCCCGACCACAUCAAAGUCUCCUCCUUCGACAAGGCUCUCGCCUUCUCCGCGUUCUCGUCGUUCCACGUCUUCGACGGCGCCAUCCACGAGCCCGCCGAGACCAUAAAGAGGGCGCUGUCUCGAGCUCUGGACCACUUCCGGCUCAUCGCCGGCCGCGUCGUCGUGGGAGACAACGGCAGCGAGCUCUACAUCGCAUGCACCGGCGAGGGCGUGGAGUUCGUGGCCGCGACGGCCAGCCGCGCCUUAGAGGACGUCAAGGUCUUCGACCCGCCGUUCGCGGGGCUGCUUAAAGACCUCGCCGUCGACUACCCGGAGGCCAGGUGCCGCGUGACCGACCCCUUGCUGCUCAUGCAGGUGACCGAGUUCUCCUGCGGCGCGUUCGUCCUCGGUGUCACGUGGAACCACGUCGUCGCCGACGGCACGGGGAUCGCGCUGCUCCUGCGGGCAGUGGGCGAGCUCGCGCGCGGGCUGGCUCGGCCGUCCGUCUCCCCGGUCACCUGCGCCGACCAGUUCAUGCCGGACUUCCCGCCGUUGGCCGCCUCUAUAGUGAAGGCCAUGCUUGGCCAGCUGGAGCCCCAGGAUUACCCCUACCUCGACAUCACCGUGCCGAUGAGCACCAUCGGCCGCAUCAAAGCGAAAAUCGGCGACGAGCUAGGCGCGCCGUGCACCGUAUUUGAGGCGGCCACGGCUGUCCUGUGGCAGUGUCGCUCCCGCGCCAUCAUGCCCGACGGCGACCCGGACAGCGCGGCGCCUCUCGUCUUCGCGGCGAACGCGCGCAGGCACGUCGGCGCCGGGGACGGCUACUACAGCAACUGCGUCACGACGCACGUAGUCGCCCCGCCACCGACGAUCCGUGAGGCGGCACAAGGGGACAUGAAAGACCUCGUUAAGCUGAUCAGGAGCGGCAAGGAUCAGGUACCUGGCACCUUGGCCGGAGAAGAAGUAGAAGGCGUGCCAGGCAUGGAGACGCUGUUCGGGUACAAUGCGCUGUUCGUGACGAGCUGGCGGAACCUGGGCUUCGAGGCGACGGACUUUGGCGGCGGGACGCCGGCGAGGGUGAUGGGCCACGUGGGGCCGCGGUCGGUGCCGGCCUGUGUGGCGUGCCUGCCGUGCAGGGACAAGGACGGGGCAAACAUGCUGUCGCGCUUCGUCAAGGAGGAGCACCGCGGCGCCUUCCUUACCGAGCUGGCCAAGUUCACCUGA